rnacentral:rRNA from 1 species
UACGGAGGGUGCAAGCGUUAUCCGGAUUCACUGGGUUUAAAGGGUGCGUAGGAGGGCAGGUAAGUCAGUGGUGAAAUCCCCGAGCUUAACUUGGGAACUGCCGUUGAUACUAUCUGUCUUGAAUACCGUGGAGGUGAGCGGAAUAUGUCAUGUAGCGGUGAAAUGCUUAGAUAUGACAUAGAACACCAAUUGCGAAGCAGCUCGCUACACGAAUAUUGACUCUGAGGCACGAAAGCGUGGGGAUCAAAACAGG